rnacentral:rRNA from 1 species
GGGCCCGCACAAGCGGUGGAGCAUGUGGUUUAAUUCGAUGAUACGCGAGGAACCUUACCAGGGCUUAAAUGUAGUCUGACAGGGUGGAAACACCCCCUCCUUCGGGCAGAUUACAAGGUGCUGCAUGGUUGUCGUCAGCUCGUGCCGUGAGGUGUCAGGUUAAGUCCUAUAACGAGCGCAACCCCUGCCGUUAGUUGCCAGCAUGUAAUGAUGGGAACUCUAACGGGACUGCCGGUGAUAAACCGGAGGAAGGUGAGGACGACGUCAAGUCAUCAUGGCCCUUACGAGUAGGGCUACACACGUGCUACAAUGGGGAAUACAGACGGACGCUAAGCCGCGAGGUGGUGCUAAUCCUAGAAAGUUUCUCGUAGUCCGGAUUGGAGUCUGCAACUCGACUCCAUGAAGUCGGAAUC